rnacentral:rRNA from 1 species
AACGCUGGCGGCAGGCCUAACACAUGCAAGUCGAACGGUAACAGGAUAGCUUGCUAUCGCUGACGAGUGGCGGACGGGUGAGUAAUACUUAGGGAUCUGCCUCUGUGUGGGGGAUAACUAUUGGAAACGAUAGCUAAUACCGCAUAAUGUCUACGGACCAAAGCGGGCUUCGGCUCGUGCGCAGAGAGGAACCUAAGCGAGAUUAGCUAGUUGGUGAGGUAAAGGCUCACCAAGGCGACGAUCUCUAGCUGUUCUGAGAGGAAGAUCAGCCACACUGGAACUGAGACACGGUCCAGACUCCUACGGGAGGCAGCAGUGGGGAAUAUUGCACAAUGGGGGAAACCCUGAUGCAGCCAUGCCGCGUGUGUGAAGAAGGCCUUCGGGUUGUAAAGCACUCUCAGUUGUGAGGAAAGUUUAGUAGUUAAUACCUGCUAGAUGUGACGUUAGCAACAGAAGAAGCACCGGCUAACUCCGUG